UUUAUGGAGAGUUUGAUCCUGGCUCAGGAUGAACGCUGGCGGCGUGCCUAAUACAUGCAAGUCGAGCGAACAGACGAGGAGCUUGCUCCUCUGACGUUAGCGGCGGACGGGUGAGUAACACGUGGAUAACCUACCUAUAAGACUGGGAUAACUUCGGGAAACCGGAGCUAAUACCGGAUAAUAUAUUGAACCGCAUGGUUCAAUAGUGAAAGACGGUUUUGCUGUCACUUAUAGAUGGAUCCGCGCCGCAUUAGCUAGUUGG
rnacentral:rRNA from 1 species